CGCCAGUGUGAAGUAUAUAUUGUUCCUGCAAAAACCAAACCUUAAGUCAACAUCCCUCAAAAAGGUAAAAUCUUUCCUAGAACUACCUCCGGGACAACGAACUCGAGGACUACGCCCCACUGGUGAUCGUGAACUGUCCUGUCUAGGUGGAGGAUCGGCCGUUUACUCUAACUGACGCUCGGAGCUCCGAUCGCGAAAGCUCAUUUCGGCCGACGGAUAGUGGUGCACGCCCUGGUAACUCCUCUUACACGAGACGAAGUGGAUCGAUAAUUCUUCGAACCAACUUGUUCACAGAGCAAAGCAACACCACGAGGGAUCAGAUGAAGCAGGGAUGAGGCGGUUCCUCGGCGGCGGAGAAGGCGAAUCGAGGGAAAAAACCACAGAAACGUACAGACGAAACACCGGCGCGUGCAAACCAACCGCGCGAGUGUCUUCGCGACAUGCGCGUGUGAAAGUUUGGUUUUUGUAAGCCGGCCCGGUUUUUUGUUUAUUCCGAAACGCCAGCUGGAACCAGAC
rnacentral:lncRNA from 1 species